GUCGUUCAGUCUCCUCACCGCCACCACCGACCCAGCUCCGCCUCUCCCUCCGACAACCACCUUGUACAGUAUCCCGCUCCUCCCUUUCCCGGCCACGUAAGCCGACGCCCUCAGCAGAUCCUCUAGCUCCAAACAGAACCCUUCAUCCAUCACCACGAAUUUACCAUUCUGCCUAUCCUCUUCCUCCUCCUUCAUUGCCUCAUCACCGUGGACGAUAAUGUUCGUUUCCUUUCUGCUCCCUUUAGCUUCUUCUUCGUCUUUACACGUUUUGCCUUUCUCCGUCGCCGUCGCCACGUAUUUCCUCCGGACUAGCCAGGCAGACACUGUGAUCGCCCCGAUCACCACCGUCACCCC
rnacentral:lncRNA from 1 species